GGACUUUUAUUUUGAUUUCACGAUGUGACGUCACAAGGCUGCGCCGCGCUCCUACGUCUGAGAUUCGGCUGAAGAAAAGGUUUGUGUUUUAAGCAACUAAAAUGUUUCAUUCAAUGCAACCCGUUCGGGCAAUUUUGUAGUUUUUACAAACGAUGUAAAAUGAAAUUCAACACUGUAAACCUUUAUCUAACAGUAAUUAUAAAAGGUGCGUCUCUUUCGCUCCCUGUAUCGUGAAUCAGUGUAUCGUAAACACGAGCUCGGCCACUGUAGAGCAGUGGUGAGAGAACCGGGGUUUAGAGUCGAAUAUCCGUAUUGAAUCAAAUGAUUCGGAAAAUGAUUCAGUGAUUCGAAGCGCUCGAUUCACCGCGCUCUGACGUCACACGCCGAUCAAAACAGUGUCAUCGCCAAAUCAUUAAAUUCGAAUUAUAUUAAUCAUUUAAACGCUUUAAUGGCGUUUAUGUAUAAUUUGUGUUCUUUUAUUCAUUUGUACAGCUAGUGUUGAUUGUUUUCGUUGAAUCAGGUGAUUUAAGUCAACUUGACUACUGAACUAGGGAUUUAGUUUGGAUUUAUUUUGCUUUCUUUUUUAAUUAUUCUCAUCUCCAUCUUACUGUUUUAAAGAUGGCGUUCAUUAAAGAGGAGAGUGAAGACAUGCGGAUCGAAGACAAUUUCAAAGUGAAACCAGAAGAUACUGAGGAACAAAUAGAGAUGGUGUUCAUUAAAGAGGAGAGUGAAGACACAAUAAAUGAAGAAUCUUUCAGAGUCAAACAAGAAGAUACUGAGACACAAACAGUUUACAGAGUGACGUAAAGUGACGUCACAACGUUGCUCUAACCGACGUUCAAAGAAGAAUCCAUUCAAUAUAGCGGAGACUCGCAAACGACCGGAGCAAACUUAAUGGGACAACUAGUAAGUAAAUCAAAACAACUGUGAAAAUUUCUUAUUUGCUUUUUGAGUGUUGUAAGAUACCACGAUAAAGGAAUGUUUUUACACAGCGCUGUAAAGCCCUGCAUUUCCCUAGUGCCUUUGAAUGAGUAUUUUGAAUAUUAUAUUAUCGUCACUGGUUAAAGUAUAAUGUUAACGUCAAAGAAUGGCACUAAUGUUAAAGUUAGCCAGCAUUUUUCGGUAAACGCAGUCCUAACGUACGUUUUGAAUGUCACUGCUGUUAACUGCGAUGUUUAGGGCUGCGUUUGUCAAAAGCAUCGUGAGCUAACGUUAAGUCGAUUAUUGAGACCAUUUUGUGUCAAAUGUUUCUACGAUCAUCUUAGCCAUACAAUGCUUUUUUGGGGGGAAAUGCCCUGGUAAAUGUGAUUUUUAUUUGGUCAGAUUUUAAACAACUAGCAGUUAAGAGUAUUAAUCCAAAAUUAGGUUAAAAGCUGAUACACAGACAUGAAUUCUGGAAUAUAUUAAAUUUACAAAAGCAGUCUACAAACUUGUAGUAAACCUUUACAAACUUUCUUUAAUUGCAGGCUGAGCUGGAUUCUGAAUACAAAAGAGUGAGCCUCAACACUUAAGGUAACUUCUAUUAAUAAUAAUAAUUAUUAUUAUUUUUAUUAUUAACUUCUAUUGAGUUGAAGAGCAAGUUGUGUGAUGUGUCCUCACAUAACAGGACACAGACUCUGCUUUCUCUUUUUUACAUCCAUCGUUGGUUAUACACUUACUUGUGCGUGUUUUUGGUUUUCUAGGUUUGUGCGGAGUUUCACCAUAUCAGAUUAAGUGGCACACACCAGCAAGAUUUCACAAAUGUUGCAUGACAUUCUAAAUGUUUGAUCUAUCUUCAGGUGAGUGCAAAUUCACAAACACUAACUAUCUCCAUCCCUGUCCUCAUUGAAUAUAAAAUAAAGUUGGCCUGAUUGUUUAACA
ensembl:lncRNA